UACGUAGGGGGCGAGCGUUGUCCAGAUUUAUUGGGCGUAAAGAGCGUGUAGGCGGCUUUGCAGGUCCGCUGUGAAAACUCGAGGCUCAACCUCGAGCUGUCGGUGGAAACCGCAAAGCUAGAGUCCGGAAGAGGAGAGUGGAAUUCCCGGUGUAGCGGUGAAAUGCGCAGAUAUCGGGAAGAACACCCGUGGCGAAGGCGGCUCUCUGGGACGGUACUGACGCUGAGACGCGAAAGCGUGGGGAGCGAACAGG
rnacentral:rRNA from 1 species